UACGUAGGGUGCAAGCGUUGUCCGGAAUUAUUGGGCGUAAAGAGCUCGUAGGCGGUCUGUCGCGUCGGCUGUGAAACCCGGAGCUCAACUCCGGGCCUGCAGUCGAUACGGGCAGACUGGAGUUCGGCAGGGGAGACUGGAAUUCCUGGUGUAGCGGUGAAAUGCGCAGAUAUCAGGAGGAACACCGGUGGCGAAGGCGGUUCUCUGGGCAUUACCUGACGCUGAGGAGCGAAAGUGUGGGGAGCGAACAGG
rnacentral:rRNA from 1 species